GGAGUGGGCCGAGCGGUCGCGACCGAAUUCGCUUCGUGCGAAUUUGAUCGAGGAAAGUCCGGGCUCCACAGGACAGGGUGGUGGGUAACGCCCACCGUCCGUGAGGACCGGGAAAGUGCCACAGAAAGCAAACCGCCGAACGGCGCGACGCUUCGCAAGAGGUUCGCGCGCGUGGUAAGGGUGAAAGGGUGCGGUAAGAGCGCACCGCGGCGCGGGUGACCGGGCCGGCAAGGUAAACCCCACCCGGAGCAAGACCGAGCAGGGGGGAAGGGGGCUUCGGCCCGCUGCGGGUUUGUUCGGCCCGUCACUACCCCCGGGUAGGUUGCUGGAGGCGGCGGGCAACCGUCGUCCGAGAGAAAUGACCGCUCUCGACAGAACCCGGCUUACAGGCCCACUCCGCAU
rnacentral:RNase_P_RNA from 1 species